rnacentral:rRNA from 1 species
UACGAAGGGGGCUAGCGUUGCUCGGAAUCACUGGGCGUAAAGGGUGCGUAGGCGGGUCUUUAAGUCAGGGGUGAAAUCCUGGAGCUCAACUCCAGAACUGCCUUUGAUACUGAGGAUCUUGAGUCCGGGAGAGGUGAGUGGAAUUCCGAGUGUAGAGGUGAAAUUCGUAGAUAUUCGGAAGAACACCAGUGGCGAAGGCGGCUCACUGGACCGGUAUUGACGCUGAUGUGCGAAAGCGUGGGGAGCAAACAGG